ACAACCUGCCCUUAGGUUGGGUAUAAACCCGGGAAACUGGGUAUAAUACCCGAUAGGUCUCGAUUGCUGGAAUGCAUCGAGAUUUAAAGCUCCGGCGCCUAAGGAUGGGUCUGCGGCCUAUCAGGUAGUAGUGGGUGUAGCGUACCUACUAGCCUACGACGGGUACGGGUUGUGAGAGCAAGAGCCCGGAGAUGGAUUCUGAGACACGAAUCCAGGCCCUACGGGGUGCAGCAGGCGCGAAAACUUUACAAUGCUGGCAACAGCGAUAAGGGAACCUCGAGUGCCAGGUUACAAAUCUGGCUGUCGAGAUGCCUAAAAAGCAUUUCAUAGCAAGGGCCGGGCAAGACCGGUGCCAGCCGCCGCGGUAACACCGGCGGCUCGAGUGGUAACCGUUAUUAUUGGGUCUAAAGGGUCUGUAGCCGGCCGGAUAAGUCUCUUGAGAAAUCUGGCAGCUUAACUGUCAGGCUUUCAGGAGAUACUGUCUGGCUCGAGGCCGGGAGAGGUGAGAGGUACUUCAGGGGUAGGGGUGAAAUCUUGUAAUCCUUGAAGGACCACCAGUGGCGAAGGCGUCUCACCAGAACGGACCUGACGGCAAGGGACGAAAGCUAGGGGCACGAACCGGAUUAGAUACCCGGGUAGUCCUAGCCGUAAACGAUACUCGCUAGGUGUCGGCCACGGUGCGACCGUUGUCGGUGCCGUAGGGAAGCCGUGAAGCGAGCCACCUGGGAAGUACGGCCGCAAGGCUGAAACUUAAAGGAAUUGGCGGGGGAGCACCACAACGGGUGGAGCUUGCGGUUUAAUUGGAUUCAACGCCGGAAAUCUUACCGGGACCGACAGCAAUAUGAAGGCCAGGCUGAAGACUUUGCCGGAUUAGCUGAGAGGUGGUGCAUGGCCGUCGUCAGUUCGUACUGUGAAGCAUCCUGUUAAGUCAGGCAACGAGCGAGACCCACGCCCACAGUUGCCAGCGUACUCUCUGGAGUGACGGGUACACUGUGGGGACCGCCGCUGCUAAAGCGGAGGAAGGAAUGGGCAACGGUAGGUCAGUAUGCCCCAAAUAUCCCGGGCUACACGCGAGCUACAAUGGUUGGUACAAUGGGUAUCUACCCCGAAAGGGGACGGGAAUCUCCUAAAACCAAUCUUAGUUCGGAUUGAGGGCUGCAACUCGCCCUCAUGAAGCUGGAAUCCGUAGUAAUCGCGUUUCAACAGAACGCGGUGAAUACGUCCCUG
rnacentral:rRNA from 1 species